AAUACAUUAAGCUAGCUAACUUGUAUAAUUAUUUUUUCUUUGGCCCUGCAAAUAAAUAAACCCAUUAUCAUUAUAUCUAUUUGUUUAUACAUCUUUGUCAAUGUUGAUACUUGUUAAAUUCAGUUGCGAGUAGAGAUGGAGAAUCAUCAAACCAACAUGCAUGCAUGAAUGCGCGUUGCGAUGACUAUCUUCUACGCUAUUACACUUUCAUUUUUUUAGAAAGGGAAAUAUAUUAAUAUUCCAACUUCUGCAGUUUCAUAAUGAACAGAUAUAAAGCAGAUAUAGCUAGUAUUAGUAGGUACACACACCAGCACAUGUCGUCGAUCCCAUUAUACUGUUUGUAUCCAUGCAUCCAUAUGAAAUUAGCCACAAGGAUACAUGUGGUUGAUAGUUGGUACAUACCCUCGGGGAUGGGCCAGCUGGAGUUGCAAGUUGAGCAAUCCGCUAUUCAGAAUCCAUAUAUACAUGACUAGUAAGGUCAACAAGCAUUUAGAUUACCGAAAUACAUACAUGCAUAUUAUAUUAUACUCCUAUAUCUGAUAACUUUGGUUCUAUACAAAGGAAAGAAAAAGUACGUACCUACUUUCCCACAUACUGAAGAAUGGCUAGAGAAUCUUAGCUAACUUUUAUGAUUUUCUUUAUUCUUAGCUGUUGUACUUGAGUUUUCUUCUAUAUAUAAAAAACAUAUAGUAAUACUUGAGCAGUAGGGGGGCAACCACCCCUGAUUCUUAAAAUAAAAUCGUAUCUAUCGUUUCACCCAACACAGUGUAGAAGGGAAAUUCCUUUCUACAUGUACGUGUAGUUACUCUCAUCUUCAAUAAACUACAUUGUGUAUGUAUUCAUACUUAUUUAUCGGUUUGAGUAUGUUUAUAUACUCAUAUUAAGAUACUCUAGAUCUUACCACGUGAAAAUUUUUCGAUUAUAUUUUAAAUAUAUUACUAAAAUGCUACUACUAUAUUAUAUACAAUAAGUAUAACCAUAUACUCUAUGUAUGCAUGCAUACUUAACAUACAUAUUACUUUAGAUGGUCUAGUAUGAUCAUAUACUUUGUUUAUAUACAUUUCAUCCAGUCAUAUACACCUUAAAUCUAAAGAUAUAUAGAUGAGAGUAACUACACGUGCGUCUAAAAGAAACGCGUUAUAUAUAUAUAUAUGCAAAUUAAAGGUAACUUUCCAAUUCCUUUUUUAUUUUUGAAUCACAUUAAAACAUCAGAUUGGGUAUAAUACAUGGACAUCAUCUUGACCUAUGAACUUAACUAUUGUGAAGUUAACAAUUAGGUACUAUUUUUGCCCCCCCCCCCCCCCCUCCCCUCAGUCAUUUCUCGCCCAAGGAAUAAUUAAUACUCUUAUUUUAAAUUAUAAUAUGUUUUGGCUUCUUUAGAUCACUCGUAGAGAACAUAUUUUUCAUCUUUGGAUUUAGUCUUGGUAGGAUUUGGUCCGGGAGUAGUAGGAAAUCUAGUCUCAAUUGGUGACUCCAACAGUAGUGCAGACGACUUUUCGUAGCACUAUCCGUUGGGGCUAUUAGUCCUGGUUUGUGUCUGUAACUGGGACCAAAGGUUACCUUUCCAUCCCGGUUGAUACCAACAACCGGGACCAAAGGUCCAGCCGACCUUUUAUCUCGGGUUCUGGCGCCAACCGGGAGUAGGGGUCGACCCUUUAGUGUCGGUAGGCUCCACCAACCAGGAUUAAAUGUCUCCACAUAUAUACCCCCAUGCACUGUCCCCCAAGGAGGAGACCUGGUGGUCAAAAUCGGUCGCCGGCUACUACUGCUUGGACUUGCUUGCAUUCAUCCUGUUCUUGAGUAAGUUCUUGUGCACACCGCCGGCUUCAUCUCCAAAUCUUCCAAAGGUUAGCAACUUUAUCUUCGAAUCUUUCAUUGAUAAUAAUGUAGAUCGGUUGAUGCUAAGCAUAGAUACAUUUAAAUACGUGGUUUUUUGGAUUAUGUAUAAUAGUGGUAGAUUUAUUUUCAUUGGUAAUAUAUGUUGGUUUUCAUGUAUCUUUGUUUUCUAUAUUAUGUGAUUGGUUUUUAAGAUUAUAAAAAUCCAAGUAUGUGAGGUUUUUUUAGAUUAUGAAUAAGUAUAGAAAUAUUCAAGUACGUGGAUUUUAAUGUUUUUUAGAUUACUUUUCUGUUUCGCUUGCAGCUUAGUCGUUUGACCUCCGAAUCGUGUUCAAUUUGUUGUGUUGGCUUUCUACCGUUAAGAGGAAACUUUCCAAAUACUCACAUCACCAGUUGGCUUGGGUAGGAACUCAUUUGUGUUUGGCGGUGAUUUUAGGACAGCGGCCAAAUAUUUCACAAGAAAUUUACCCUUCUCAUUCACCCCCCAUCCUCUGGUCACUAUUUUCGGUCCAACAGUUGGCACAUCAUGAAUAAGGUAUAGCGUUUAUUAGUGUAGUUGUGCCUAUUAAUACCGUGUCUAAUAGUUGCCGUUCAUUUGGCCAUCAUGGGUAGUGUAUGUCAUUCUCAAACUCAAAGUGAAGAGAGAACAGCAGCAUGAACCUUGAAGGUUUGAAAAUUCUUGACGAUCAGCAAGACGUGAUUGUGCAAACGUGCAUUACAUCUGUUAAACCAUCACUCAAACCAUUGAUAAACUUCACCAAAAUGUGAAUAAACUCAUUUAUAUAUUUUUUGUCCUGGUUAGUCUGUCUCUAUCCAUGCAGAUAGGCGUUAAAGCCAAUAGUGAAUUGAUGAGAUGGAGAACGAACGAUUAACAGGACACCAACAUAAUGAAUACGUGCGCUGACUAGCUAGGUACAUGAAGCACAAUAGCACAUGCAUGAUGUCCACCUAUAUGGCAUCAUCGGUGGGCACCAUGAAAAAUGGGGAAAAAUUGCAUGCAAGCGGGGACAAAAUUUGUAAUCUGCAAUCGACCAGAUUCCUUGGCUUUGCACUCGGUAAAGUCUAUAUUGUACUCGACAAAGGUUUUAUCGAAUGCCACACUCGGCAAAAUGCACUCAGCAAAAAAAGCUGUCGGCAAAGUCAUCUUUGCCGAGAAUAAAAAAAUCCAUAAAAAUAGGAAUAUUUUUUUAAAAAUUGGGGAGACCUCCACCGACUAGUGCCCACCUGUCUCUGUCUAAGUCGUAAGUCUUAACAUUGUUUGCACAAAAUACGUGGUUAUGUGGCUAGUGGGAUGACCUUCCUCUCACUCAUCUCUCCCUAACCACUACACCACACUAUCAUUUGUGUCUAUACUGCAAUUUGGUUCCAUAUAUAUUAUACCAAAUCAUAUAUAAAUUGAUUGUUUAAGGUCCUAAAUAAUUUCAAAUCAAAAAGUUGUCAACUACAAAGUUUCAUAACUUUUAGAGAUCUACACUUUUUCUUUGGGAAGUUUCUCCAUCCAAGAUUGUUUACAAAAUUUGAAUUUCAAAUUUGAGAAAUUUAAACGUAGUUUUUGCAUAAUAAGAUGAUUUCAAAUCAAAAGGUUGUCAACUACAAUUUUUUAUAACUUUUUGAGAUCUACAAUGUUCAUUUAGGGAGUUUUUCCAUCCAAGGUCAUUUGAAAAAUUCAAAUUUUUAAAUAAAGACGUGGUUUUGCAUGACAAGAUGAACUCAAAUGAAACAGUGUCAACUACAAAGUUUCAUAACUUUUAGAGAUCCACAAUUUUUCUUUAGGAAGUUUCUCUAUCCGAGAUUGUUUACGAAAUUUAAAUUUUAAAUUUGAGAAAUUUAAACGUAGUUUUUGCAUGACAAGAUGAUUUCAAAUCAAAAAGUUGUCAACUACAAAGUUUCAUAACUUUUCGAGGUCUACAAUGUUUAUUUAGGGAGUUUUUCCAUCUCAGGUCAUUUGAAAAAUUCAAAUUUUCAAAUAAAGACGUGAUUUUGCAUGAUAAGAUGAACUCAAAUGAAACAGUUGUCCACUACAAAGUUUCAUAACUUUUCGAUAUCUACAAAGUUUAUGUAGAUAGUUUUUUCAUUCAAGAUCAUUUGAAAAUUUCAAAUUUUCAAAUAAAUAUGUAAUUUUGCAUCAGAAGAUGAACUCAAAUGAAAAUGUUGCCAACGAUAAAAUUUUAUAACUUCUCAAGAUCUACAAAGUUUAUUUUAGUUAUUUGUCCUUUUGUUCAUUUGACAUGGUGAUUCUAACAUUUUUCACAAAACUUAUGUAUCUCUCUUCUAGUUUUAUAAACUAUAAGAGAUAUAUAUGUAAAAUUCGUGAAAAAAUUUAUUUUUACUUUGUUAAAUGAAGAAAUGACCAAAAUAAAGGUUGUAAAUCUUGAGAAGUUAUACAACUUUGUAGUUGAAAGCUUUUUGAUUUGAAUUCAUUUAGGACUUCAAAAUUUGAUUUGAAAUUUUCUUUGUCGAGUUUUUUUUUACACUCGGGGCCCAGUGUCAAAAAACACACUCGGCAAAAAAGACUUCUUUACAAGUGUCAAAGAAAAUACUUGGCAAAGACCUUUUUUGUCGAGUGUUUUUUUUUACACUCGGCAAAAAAUCCUUUGGAUUUGUAAAUGUAAAACAUUUUUGGCAAAACAUAAAUUUGGCAUUUCCUCCUUUUUUUCUCUACAUAAAAACAUAUAUUUCCAAAACGUAAAUGCAAUUUGCCAUUUCCUCCUUUUUUUUCUCUACAUAUAUACUGAAGAAAACAUUUUUGUUUGCAUUGACCUGUUGUCAUCAUCAAAUAUCAUGCGAGGUAUACAGCGUCUGCAGUACUGGGAUAUUGAUCAUCCUAUCGUGCCCGCGAUGCCGUCGGAGAAGAAGACGUCGCCGCCCAACAACAAAUCGGCGCGUGGGUUCCCGGCGGUGGACGCCGCCAAGGCCGCGUUAGAGGACGCCUGCCCUGCGGUUGUCUCCUGCGAGUCGCCAUCGCCGCUGAGAUCUCCGUCGAGCUGGUACGUACACGUACGUACCUGCAUGCAUGCAGUGCAGCGAUACAAAAUUCAUGGCAUAUACAUGAAGCAAUACUGUGAUAGUAUAGAGGACGUAGCGGUAGCCGGUAGCUGCACCAUGGCUUUCAAAUUAAGGGGCAUGCAUAGUGAUUUAACCGUUAACAGCAUGCAAUUACUUCAUUAUUGGCACCUUUUCGUUUAAUUUGGAGGAUGAAUGAUUUGAUGGGCGCCCACACGGUGCAUAUUGCUGUGCUAUAGUAACAUGUCAUGUCAGGUCGUUUUUCAUGAUUAUAUAUGCAUGGUUCUGGUAUGUACACCUUCGAUAACAAAAAGCGUCAAAAUAUUUCUAGUGAAAUGACGUCAAUAUUUUUAAAAAACAAUUUGGAUUUGUUUGAAUUUCGUCCGAUAUUAAUGAAAUUUCGUAUUUACACUAGUAAAAAAAGCACUACGCUUGCGGUGGAAUAUAAUUUGUACAGGCGGUUCGAAUUAAACAGCAUUUGUGGAGAGAAAUCUUGCCCGACUAAAAAAACCGCCUGUGAAAAUCAAUUUUCACCGACGGUUUUCCUAACAAAACCACCAAUAGAAAUCAUCUAUUUCUGCAUACGGUUCUCCUAAGAAACCGCCAGUGAAAAUCGUAUUUCCAUUGGCGGUUUCUUAAAAAAUGCCUGUAGAAAUAAUUUGAAAUUGAAUUUUUUGAGCUUUUCAAAUGACCUCUUUUAGAAAAACCGUCAAAAUGAAAGUUGUAGUUCUCGAAAAGUUAUGAAACUUUGUAGUUGAUAAGUUUUCCAUUUGAAAUCAUCUUGUCGUCGAAAACUACGUUUGAAUUUCUCAAAUUUGAAAUUCAAAUUUUGUAAAUGACCUCGUAUGGAGAAAUUACCAAUAUAAAAGUUGUAGAUCUUGAAAAGUUGUGAAACUUUGUAACUGGCAAUUUUUUCACUGGAAUCCGUUUAGGGCCUUAAAUAAUCAAUAUAUGCUCGGUUUAGGAUAAUAUGUGGGGAACGAAACUGUAAUAUAGACACAAUUAAGUGAUAGGUGGAGUGGUAGAGGAGGCUACGCGCGAGGGCGAGAUCUCAGGUUUGAAUCCCACCAGCCAGCCGUGUAGCACGUGAUUUUACGCGAAACAAUGCGCGACUUGCGACUUCCCUAUAAUUUAUUUUUUUCUAUUUUUAAAAGCCGAUUUUGUAUUUUGUAUAAAAAAAUUUCUAACGGUUGACAUAACUGAACCGUCUGUAGAAAUACAUUUGCAUUAACGGCUCUCAAUUACCCGCCUGUGGAAAAAAUAUUUCUACAGACACCCAGCACAGGCUCUCAGUUAACCGCCUAUGUAGUGGUUCUGUGUACUAGUGUUAUUUGCUAGGUGAUAAAACUUCUUUUUUUAGAAUUACAAUGCAGAUCGCUUAAUACGCACGCACACUCAUUCUUAUAGACGUGUAAAUAAACUCUACUUUAUGAACACCUCCUAAAUACUAUAUACACCCUGCCGUCAAGUCCAAACACCUCCUAAAUACUAUAUACACCCUGCCGUCAAGUCCAAAGAGAAGGAUAUAGCAAGUAGGUAGGAUCUUCCUGGCAAUGGUAGUAAGUGUGGGACAAGGUUACAAUGAGAGGCAAUGGUAGAUACAAGGUCACAUUCAUCCAUUACUUGUUCCCUGUGAUUGCACAUGCAUCAACAACACCAAACAAGGAAAUACUAUAGGAUCAAUUAACUUCCUAGCAACGUUUAAUAACAUGCAGUUGGGAGGCCCAAGUUGGGGUGUGCUUCUGGGAAGGCUGGACAGCAAGACCUCCGACUACAACGGAUCCCUGAACCACACAGCGCCCACCGACAACCUCACCAUCUUCAGCUAUGUUCAGCAACCUCAGCCUCAACGAUGUCGACCUUGUCGCCCUUUCAGGUACCUACAAAUCCAUAAACUUGAUGCCCUCUCAGCUGGUAUCGUCUAUUCACUUGAUUUUUGUUGUGAAAACGACAGGGGGGCACACGUUUGGCCGUGUACAAUCACUACGAGAUACUGGUACUUUGCUGAGUGUUUGUAGCACUCGGCAAAGGUCCAAAUACAUUUAGCCUCGGCAAAAACCACACGGCAAAAUUUUAGUCGGCAAAGAGAUCUUUUAUCGAGUGUUAUUUUUCGUGCACUCGAUAAAGCCUUUGCCGAGUGUCCGACACUCGGUAAGGAUAGAAACGAAAAAAAUUCAAAAAAAUCUGAAAAAUAGGGAACAAAAAGAAUAUUUUUUCGCAGGAGGCCUGCGCCCACCUGACUCUAUGUGCUGCUCAAGUUUCAGAAUUUUUGUGGCUUUGCGGCCAAUGGAAUUCAAACUCGUGACCUCUUUUGUCACGUGUCUCCCUCCUUAAUCACUACACCACACUAUCACUUAUACACUAUCACUUAUGUCUAUAUUACAUUUCGGUUCCUCAUAUAUUAUAUCAAAUCACAUAUAAAUUGAUUAUUUUGAUAUUCUAAACGAUUGCAAAUUAAAAAGUUGUCAACUAUAAAGUUUUAUAACUUUUCGGGACCUACAAUUUUAAUUUAGGGAGUUUCUCCAUCCGAGGUCGUUUACAAAAUUUGAAUUUUAAAUUUGAGAAAUUCAAACGUAGUUUUUGUAUCACAAGAUGAUUCCAAAACAAAAAGUUGUCAACUAUAAAGUUUUAUAACUUUUUGAGAUCUACAAAGUUUAUUUAGGGAGUUUUUCCAUCUGAGGUCAUUUGAAAAAUUCGAAUUUUAAAAUUUUCAAUUAAAGACGUAGUUUUGCAUGACAAGAUGAACUCAAAUAAAAAAGUUGGCACAUACAAAAAUUUCAUAACUUAUCAAGACCUAUAAAGUUUAUUUUGGUUGUUUUGUCAUUUGCUCAUCCGACAUAGUGAUUCUAAUAUUUUUCAUAAAUCUUAUAUAUAUCUCUUAUAGUUUCAUAAACUAUAUGAGAGAUAUGUAAAAUUUAUGAACAAAUUUAUUCGACUUUGUCAAAUAAAAAAAUAACCAAAAUAAAUAUUGUAAAUCUUGAAAAGUUAUAGAACUUUGUAGUUAAUUUUUUUAUUUGAAUUCAUUUAGGGCUUCAAAAUUCAAAUUAAAAUUUUCUUUGCUGAGUGUUUUUUUGACACUCGGCAAAGAAGGUCUUUGCCGAGUGUAAAAAAAGCACUCAACAAAGAAGUUUCUUGUCAAGUGUCAAAAAAACACUCGGUAAAGAAAGUCUAUACCGAGUGUUUUUCUACAUUCGGCAAAGAAACCUCUUUGCCGAGUAUUUUUUUCCGAUUGUUUUUCUUUGGCACUCGACAAAGAGCUUCUUUGCCGAGUGCUUGAAAGAAAACACUCGGCAAAGCGCUUAACACUUGGCAAAGACCUGGAUUUCGAUAGUGAAUGCCAAUCCGUAGUGAACCGGCUCUACAACUUCAGCAACACAGGCCUGCUGGACCCAACCAUGGACUUUGCUAACCUUGAGUUCCUGUCACAGAGGUGUCCAAGGAACGGCAACGGCUCGGCGCUGAACGAUGUCGAUCCAACCACUCCAGACACCUUCCACACAACCACUACUACACCAACAUCGAAGUGAACCGGGGUUUCCUCAACUCCGAUCAGGAGCUCAAGUCAUCGCCCUAGGCGCAGGGCACCAAGGCACCCGUCGUCGACCAGUUUGCCACCAGCCAGGACGCCUCCUUCAAGAAUUUUGCCAAAUAAAAAAAGUUGACAAGAUGAAUUCAAAUAAAAAAGUUGCCAAAUAAAAAUUUCAUAACUUAUCAAGAUCUACAGAGUUUAUUUUGGUUAUUUUGUCAUUUGUUCAUCCGACAUAGUGAUUCUAAUAUUUUUUAUAAAUCUUAUAUAUUUCUCUUAUAGUUUUAUAAACUAUAUGAGAGAUAUAUAAAAUUUAUGAACAAAUUUAUUUUGACUUUGUCAAAUAAAGAAAUGACCAAAAUAAAUAUUGUAGAUCUUGAAAAGUUAUACAAUUUUGUAGUUGAAAACUUUUUGAUUUGAAUUCAUGUAGAGUUUCAAAAUUCAACUUAAAAUUUUCUUUGUUGAGUGUCAAAAAAUACUCGGUAAAGAAGUUCUUUGCCGAGUGUUUUUUUUACAUUCGGCAAAAAAGCCUUUUUCCCGAGUGUUUUUCUUUUCGCACUCGACAAAAAGCUUCUUUGCCGAGUGCCCGAAAGAAAACACUCAGCAAAGCACUUAACACUCGGCAAAGACCCCGAUGUCCAUAGUGAAUGUCAAUCCGUAGUGAACCGGCUCUACAACUUCAGCAACACAGGCCUGCUGGACCCAACCAUGGACUUUGCUAACCUUGAGUUCCUGUCACAGAGGUGUCCAAGGAACGGCAACGGCUCAGCACUGAACGAUCUCGAUCCAACCACUCCAGACACCUUCGACACAACCAAUACAACAACAACAUCGAAGUGAACCGGGGUUUCCUCAACUCCGAUCAGGAGUUCAAGACAUCGCCCCAGGCGCAAGGCACGACGGCACCCGUCGUCGACCAGUUUGCCACCAGCUAGGACGCCUCCUUCAAGAAUUUUGCGCAGUCCAUGGACCAUAAUCAACAUGGGCAACAUUAAGCUGCAUAAAAAGUGAUCAUUAAACUUUGUAGAUCUUGAGUUUUUUGGUGCAUUGGAUGGACCAGAUGACACUACGCUUCACCUCAGUACAAGUUUCGUGGUGGUGCCACGCGUUCUUUGACUCGCCUCUCCAGAUUUUAGGACCCGGACUAGUGAAACUCACCAUCCAUGACUUUUAUGUCAAAACCACCAAAUUCUUCGUUCCCAAUUUCGAGGAAGAUUGACCAACCCUCAUACAUGCCUCGUUAUGUGUGACUCAUCAAUGUCAACAUAUGUCCAAUCUCCAUGUCCUCAGUCUAACGCUCCACCAAGUGCUCGCAACACCUUGCCUUGACUUUGUCUAAAUCAGGCUUUGAGUUUGUCAACAUUAUCGUCAUCACCCAUGUACUCUUGCUCUUCCACAUGUCUAACGUGAGUCGCGCAUGCUCCGCUCCUAGCAUCUUGGUCCUUAGGUCCAAGCCUUUUUGUUCGUCCUUCACCAAAAAACUCAAUCCUCUCAGCUCAAGUGUCAAUUAUUCGUCACAUAGGCACUUCUCAACUCGGUAUCUCAACCACUUGCUAGGAUAUUAAGUCAAUGGUGCAAGCAUAAGUACAGAGCACAAUAGAAAUGACUUACUAUGUGUGGGGGUAUAAACCCCUAUACCCUUACGGCUAGACUUCGGCCAGGAGGCUUGGCCCAUUACGAGACGAGUUCAAGGCUUGAUCCGACAACCUGGAGUUUCGCGCAAGGAAACAAGAUGUGGAGAUCAAGCAGGAUUCCAGUCGGUUAGAAUAGGAAUUGAUAUCGAAUUAUCCAUGGCAAUUGUAACCGACUAGGAUUAGUUUCCGGAUCUGUAACCCUGCCCUCCAGACUAUAUAAGGAGGGGCAAGGGACCCCCCUAGGACAUAUCAUAUUCUCUCAACACAAAUCAAUACAACCAGACGCAGGACGUAGGUAUUACGCCAACUCGGCGGCCGAACCUGGAUAAAAAGCUUGUCCGUGUCUUGCGUCACCAUCGAGUUCGUAGUUUGCGCACCGUCUACCGAUAAACUACUACCGUGGGUAUACCCCAAGGUAGACUGCCGACCAGCUUUCGUCGACAGUGGCGCGCCAGGUAGGGGGUGUGCGUGCAACUUUUCCGGCGAACAAGAUGGUCACGAUCCCAGCUUCCGCGACCGUGCCUGAAGGCCUCACGUUCACCGUUGGCCAGAUCACGUGGACGACGUGCAGCGGCGGCCUCACGACCACGGUUUCGAAAGAGACCCAGAUCCAAUCUGAGAUCACGCCGUCUCCGACCACACACGUGGCGGCACCGAGCACCCGACCACCGCUCCCGCUCUACGAGGGAAAGAAAAUCGACAGCUCGGACCUUCUCCAAGCGCUUGAUCGCGCUGACUCCAAGCUACUCGAAGUUUCCCAACUAGUAGACGGAGUUCUGCGCCGGCCCGACCAAGCUGCUCCAGUGGAUUUUUUCAAAUCCCGCCGGCCAACUCGUGUCGCCACACACGAACGGCUGGGAACGUCUCUGACGAUAACCUCAACACCCUCAGGACGAUCCGUCGAGCUCAAGAAGGAAGAUUAUCCUUGCGGCCUGAACAACUCGGCCUCUGUUUACUCACAGCACACCCAAUCAGUUUUCAGCAAGGCGGGUUGGUUGCCGACAAGGAACGAUCGUCACUACGUCAACAUGGUGACAAUCCGAGAACUACGGGACGGCCAGGUUUCCAGCACCAACUCAAGCACCGGUUCCGUCCCCACCGAGGUUAUAAACACCGAAGACGAGGGCUACGACCUGGAUUUUUCUUCACACCCUCCGGGUUUCGACCGAUUCCCGAUAUUUCCCCCCCGGCGAGGGGAUAUUGUGUUCAAUGUCAGCGCCGACGAACCGGUCGUUGAUGGAGAAACAGAUGACCAGAGGCAACUCCGCGAACAGCGCAACACCGAUCGCGCCCGACGACGCGCAGACGAGCAACAACAAAUGCCACCAAAUAAUCUCAACGAUGCCUUUGACAUGGUCGGGGACCAGCCAGUCUACAAAACGCCAAACGCCAACGUGGCUGUCGCCAUGGCUAACCUAGAUCGGCUUCCUGAUACCCCCGAAUGCCAGGGAGUCCGGACCAGCAUCCGAGCACACCUGAUCGCUGCAAUGGGACAGACAGCCACUCUGCUCAAGAGAGUCCAGGACGUCUCUUAUACGGGAGCUGCCUCUGACCAGACUAAUCGUAGCCGAGCCUCACCGCCUCCCAGCAGGCGUCACCGCAGCCGCUCCCCCGACAACCGUCGAGAGGACUCACGGCGCAACGAUGGUGGUCGGGACGCCGACGGUCGCCGCAAGCAGAACCACGUACGUGGCCAAGAAGUAAACCAUCACAGGGAUCUCCGCCACGACAUCCCUCCCAAAGAUGCCCGGGACCGCAUCAACAGGCGCGCCGCAGAGAGAGCAGUCCACGAAAACCUGCGCCGCAUCGAGUAUGAUGCAACGCACGGUCCUCCGGGCCUAAGACAAUUCUCCUCACACCUCCGCCAGGUCGUGUGGCCCCGCAAUUUCAAGCUCGAAAAACUUAAAAAAUACGACGGCAAGGAAAAUCCAGAGAACUGGAUCACCCUCUAUGAAAUCGCCGUCCGAUCAGCGGCAGGGGAUGAGCACGUCAUGGCUAACUACUUCCCCGUAGUCCUCGACCAGGCUGGUCAUCAGUGGCUUCUUGGCUUGCCCGAGGACUCUUUCGACUCUUGGGAAGAGCUACGCCAGGCUUUCAUCGACAACUUCAUCGCCACAUGCGAGCAGCCCAGCAACAAGUAUGACCUCGAAAGGAUAAGGGACAGGAAGAACGAACCCCUGCGCGAUUACAUCCGACGAUUCUCGGAUAUGCGCCUCAAAAUCCCGAAGAUUUCCCACGACGAGGCCAUCUCAGCCUUCAUCAAGGGCCUGCGUUUCCACGAAGCGCUGAGGAACAAGCUGCUGCGUAAACGUCCAACAACGGUAGCAGAGCUCCUCGCCACGGCCAAAAAUUACGCCGAUGCCGACGACGCAGAAAAACUAAUCCGAGACGAUGCGAGAGGUCCCGACCAGCCUUCCCGGCGAGAUGACGGUCGCGGUCGUUACGACAACAGGAACCACCGUCGCACCGACAACCGCGACCACAGAGACGGUUGGGAUCGGCGGCGCGACAGCCGCGACGACUUCAGAGGAAAGCGCCCUCGCGAAUACGACCACGAAGUAAAUACGGUCAAACGUCCCAAUGGACGACGGGACUACCAAGAAGACUACAACAAAACGUUGAAGGGACCAUGCCAACUACAUCCAAAGUCCAAUCAUACCAUGGAAGAGUGUCGCGUCCUCAAAAGUAUCUAUACACGGCGGGCCGCCCAAGACGACUCCGCCAAGAAAAAUAACAAGCGCGACGGGCACGACCACGAAGAAGAGGAUGAAGACCAAGAUAGGGACCCCCGACACCAAUACGUCAGCCCCACUGACGUGGUCCACUCCAUCUUCGGGGGCAAGGUCUCCACUGAGUCCAAGCGAGAAAGAAAGCUGUUAAAGAGAGCCUGCCUCAACAUAGACAGCACGGACGGGCUGAUCGCAGACCCGAAAUUUCCCACGUGGUCCCACAGGGAAAUCUCGUUCAGCAGGAAGGACCAGUGGGCCGCUAUCCCAGAGCCGGGUCGUUUCCCCCUGAUUCUUGACCCCUGCAUCAACAGCGUCAGAUUCGAGCGCGUGCUCGUGGACGGGGGAAGCUCCAUCGACAUCCUUUUCUGCAACAGCCUGCCCGCCCUCAAGAUAUCCCCUGCACAACUAAAACCUUACGACGCCCAAUUCUGGCGGGUUUUGCCAGGUCAAAGUUCAGUGCCUCUCGGACAGAUAACAUUGCCUGUCCAAUUCGGCACACCCGACCACUUCCGGACGGAGUUCAUCAACUUCGUAGUCGUGGAUUUCGACGGGACCUAUCACGCCAUACUGGGCCGACCAUCGCUGACAAAGUUCAUGGCAGUCCCGCACUACUCAUACCUAGUCCUUAAGAUUCCCACGGAGAAGGGUGUCCUAACCGUCAGAGGCAACGUCUACACUGCGUACACCUGCGAAGAAGAAAGCUUCAAGAUCACCGAGGCAAUCGACCUCUCAAUCCGCAUGGCAGAAACAGCAAACCAAGCCGCACAGCUGCCUCCCGACCAGCUCCGACUACCCGAACAGGAGACAGCCAGGAAGAACUCAAAAUCCAAGGAGUACAAAGAAGUGCAGCUGGUCGAGGGCAGCCCCGAGAAGACAGCCCUCAUCGAGGCCAACCUGGAUCCAAAAUAGGAAGACGCGCUCGUCAGGUUUCUAAGGGACAACGUGAGCGUUUUCGCAUGGAAACCCGCAGACAUGCCCGGUGUCCCACGAAACCUGAUCGAGCACUCCUUAAAUGUCUCGAAGACCGCAAGACCAGUCAAGCAAAAACUGCGACGGUUCGCUCGUGACAAAAAGGAGGCUAUUAGGACAGAAAUAACACGGCUUCUAGCAGCCGGAUUCAUAAAAGAAGUGUAUCACCCCGAUUGGCUCGCCAACCCGGUUCUUGUACGCAAAAAGAAUAAUGAAUGGAGAAUGUGCGUUGAUUACACUGAUCUCAAUAAACACUGUCCUAAAGAUCCUUUUGGUCUCCCUCGUAUCGACGAGGUGGUCGACUCAACGGCCGGAUGCGAACUCCUCUCUUUUCUAGACUGCUACUCUGGUUAUCACCAGAUCUCGCUAAAGGAAGAAGAUCAGAUCAAAACGUCUUUUAUUACACCUUACGGCGCAUACUGCUACACGACCAUGUCUUUCGGACUCAAAAACGCCGGAGCCACUUAUCAACGGGCCAUCCAACAAUGCCUCCACGACGAGAUUCGCGAUGACCUCGUCGAGGCCUAUGUAGACGACGUGGUCGUAAAAACAAGGGACGCGAGCACCCUAAUCGACAACUUAGACCGAACUUUUAAGGCGCUCAAUAGGUACAAGUGGAAGCUCAACCCCAAGAAGUGCAUUUUCGGCGUUCCUUCCGGUCUACUGCUCGGCAACGUCGUCAGUCGCGACGGCAUACGACCAAACCCUUCAAAAGUCAAAGCCGUACUCGACAUGCGACCACCGAAGAACGUAAAGGAUAUCCAAAAGCUAACCGGAUGUAUGGCCGCCCUCAGUCGCUUCAUCUCAAGGCUAGGAGAAAAAGGCCUCCCUUUCUUCAAACUAUUAAAAGCGUCGGAAAAAUUUUCUUGGACAGAAGAAGCCGACACCGCAUUCAACCAGCGUAAGACCUUCCUCACUUCACCACCUGUCCUUACAGCGCCUCAGCCCAAUGAAGACCUACUCCUUUACAUUGCUACAACCGACAGGGUUGUUUCCACGGCAAUAGUGGUCGAGCGAGGUGAACCAGGUCACGCCUACAAGGUCCAGAGACCAGUUUACUUCACAAGUGAAGUCUUAAACGAGUCCAAGGCCAGGUAUCCACAAAUACAGAAGCUCAUAUACGCCAUUCUAAUAACGUCAAGAAAGCUGAAGCACUACUUCGACGGCCAUCGAGUCCUGGUGACAACCAGUUUCCCUCUCGGGGACAUCCUGCGCAAUAAAGACACCAACGGCAGAAUCGUGAAAUGGGCAAUGGAAUUAUGUCCAUUUUCCCUGGAGUUCCAGAGUCGCACCACUGUCAAGUCUCAGGCCCUGGUCGAUUUCAUUGCUGAAUGGACGGAUCUCAACGAGCCUUCCGUUCCCGAUGUCUCAGACCACUGGUCAAUGUUCUUUGACGGGUCCUUGAACAUCAACGGUGCCGGCGCUGGGAUACUGUUCGUAUCACCCAACAAGGACAAACUGCGUUACGUCCUUCGGAUCCUUUUUCCGGCGUCAAACAACGUCGCCGAAUACGAAGCAUGCUUGCAUGGCAUAAGACUAGCCGUUGAGCUGGGAGUCAAGCGCCUCUAUGUUUAUGGCGACUCCGCUUUGGUCAUCAACCAGCUCAACAAGGAGUGGGACGCAACCCACGAGAAGAUGGAUCUCUACUGCAAAGAAAUUCGCAAAUGGGAAACCAACUUCUACGGCAUAGAGUACAUCCACGUGGUCCGGGAUAAGAACCAAGCAGCAGACGCGUUGUCGAAGUUAGGCUCAUCUCGGGCCCAGAUCCCGCGGGGUAUUUUCGUCCAGGACAUCCACGAGCCGAGCGUAGGCUCCUCCCUGGUCGACAAGCAACCCACCGAGGCAAUGCUCAUAGACGACGCCACUCCGACAACCGGUGGGCGUGACUGGCGUACCCCGUUCAUCAAAUACAUAUCGGACGGGACAGGCCUUCAGGACAAAACAGAGAACGAGCGCCUCAUUCGACGAUCAAAGAACUACAUCCUGGUCGACGGCAAACUCAUGCGGAAAAACGCAAGCUCCGAAGUAUUGCUCAAGUGCAUACCCCAAGAUGACGGUAUCAAGCUCUUAGAGGACAUACAUGCUGGAUCCUGCGGCAAUCACGCCGCAUCCAGAACGCUGGUCGGAAAGGCUUUCCGAGCAGGUUUUUAUUGGCCAACCGCGGUCGGCGACGCAGAAAAACUGGUUCGACAUUGCGAAGGAUGUCAGUUUUUCGCUAAGAGGACCCACGUACCUGCCCACGAAAUUCAAACCAUCCCGUCGUCUUGGCCCUUUGCUUGCUGGGGGCUUGACAUGAUCGGGCCAUUUAAACCAGCCCCGGGCAAUUUCAAGUUUGUUUUCGUGUUAAUCGACAAGUUCUCCAAGUGGAUUGAGUACAUGCCUCUGGUCAAGGCAACCUCUGAGAAGGCUGUGGAGUUCCUCAAUCAAAUCAUACACAGAUUCGGCAUCCCGAACAGCAUAAUCACCGACCUGGGCACUCAGUUUACUGGCACCGCUUUUUGGGACUUCUGCGAUGACAGAGGCAUAGUCAUAAAAUACGUGUCAGUGGCACAUCCACGUGCCAACGGUCAAGUUGAACGUGCUAACGGAAUGAUCGUCGAUGCCCUAAAGAAAAGGUUGUACACCGAAAACGACAGAGCACCCGGUCGAUGGAUGAAAGAAUUGCCGGCAGUGGUCUGGGGCCUCCGAACUCAGACCAGUCGAAACACAGGGGUGUCUCCCUACUUCAUGGUGUACGGCGCAGAGGCGGUCCUGCCGUCUGACAUACACUUCGGAUCUCCCAGAAUCGAACACUUCGACCAGGCGACCGCUGACAACGCCAGAGAACUCGAAAUCAAUUGCAUGGAGGAAAAGCGUUUGGAUUCGUGUCUCUGAACAGCAAAAUAUCUCGCGGCAGUCAGGCGAUACUACAACAGGAACGUCAAGGACCGUUCCUUCGUGGUCGGCGAUCUGGUACUUCGAUGGAAAACAAGCCAGGAGGGAAUGCACAAGCUAUCCACUCUCUGGGAAGGACCCUUCGUGGUGACCGAGGUCACACGACCUACGUCCUACAGAUUGGCAUACCCAGACGGAACACGAGUGCCUAACUCUUGGCACAUAGACAAACUGCGACGUUUCUAUCCAUAAAGUUUUAAUAACUUUCCUUUGUAAGUAUCUCAUAAUCGUUGAUAAUGAAAUUCUCUAUUCUUUGCCUAUACCUUGUCACAGCACUCGGCAAAACUCCUGCAAUGGAUGCUCUUAAAGACUACCAAGAUGAAUACGGUGACACGUCACUCAGAUAAUCUUACAGCGCUCAAAACAACAGUCACGACAAAAAGCAAACUUUAUUACAAACUUUACAUACAAAGUUUACAAUAAAUCCCCUGACGGGCAGACACUAGUCUAUUCCUACAGACUACUCUAUUGGCCUAGCUGCUCGGGCUGAUCACCCGCCUGGCCCUGCUGCCCGGACGAAGGUGUCGGGGCCACCGGCGCCUGGCUGGUCGAGACCGCAGGCGUCGACCGCCCAUCUCCCGCAACGGACGCGCCCGACAACUCCCUGGCCGACCUAUCUGAACUCGGCUGGUCGGGGGGAGUGGCCGUUCCGCACAGAUUGAUGUCGCCGAUCACUGUCGACGACAAGUCCAGCAGACUACCCCGAAGCUCGUCCGCUUCCUGUGGGCCGACCUCCUUCGGGUACCCCUUCUCCAGCCUGCUCAAGUCGAUCAGGGGGUAGUGGGCGCGCACCAUGCUGAGGACGUGCGCGCCGGCAAACUCCCCGGCGUCCUUCACGAACUGCUGGAGCCAGUCCCACGCCCGUUGCGCCUUCUCGACCGGGGUCAACUGUGGCGCGCGGGGCUGGCUCUCCGGGAGCUCGGGACUGAUCAGGUCUAGGACCGGGGACACUCCUUUCCAGAUCCUGCAACAGUUGACCUUCCAGGAGUCCCGGUCCUUGAUCAGAUCAUCCAGGUGCUUCUUGGCGUUCACCUUGAGCACUGCAAAUGAAACAAAGCGUUAUUUUCGGCAUACCAAACAAACAAAGGGGCGACAAGCAGCAGCUAGCAAGGCGGCACCCAUUACCAGAUAAUUCCCGGUCUUUCCGACCCAAUUCCUCUCCUGCUCGCCGCCCGGACUCCAGCGCACCGGCGAGCUGUUGGCUGAGCUGCUCCUUCUCUUGUCGGAGGCGCGCCACCUCCUCCUCCAAGUCUGCGUGAAUCAUAAACUGGUCGGUACAGCAAACUACACAAGUACGCAAAGCUGCUCGGAGCGUGUGACUAACCUUCUCGCUGCCGGUACUGGUCGGCCAAGCGACGAGUGAGGUCGAGACGACGCUCCUCUUGGGCGCUCAUCUCGGCCACCUUCUCCCCGACUUCCGAUCGCAGCCGGUCUACCUCCGCGGCCAGGGCCUUGUUCUCGGCCACGACGCCUUCUAUCUGGUCAAAGCACCGUUUCCGGUACUUUGCCGUUUUCAUUACGCCCUACAAAGCGAACAUAUAAUGACCAUGCAAGAAAAGGCAUAGAGUGUACAGCAGUACAAAAAGUCGCUUACCUUGACUUCGUCGACGAGGCGCUUGGCCGCGCGCUCCACCCUGGCGGCCUCCUCGGUCUCGGCGAGCUCCUCAUGCCCGAUAAAGUGAUCCCCGCGUUGGCGCCACACAUAUACGUGUUGGCGGCCAUCACGGGGACGACCCUCAAUCUCUUCCACCUCGUCAUCGGAGGCCGCCCGGGUUUUCUCCUCCUGCGCUGCGUCACCCCCGGUGGUGGUCCCAGGCAUUACUGGCCCCCGGACCAGACCCGGGGAGCCUGCAGCCGAAGAGGUUCCUGCUCGGGGCGGCGUGGGGACUCCACUCCCCCCGGCAGGAGGAGGGGUCGGGGCUCUUCCCUCCUCUUCUGUGGAGCCAGCUGGGGGAGCCUCUUCAGCCCUGGUCGGGCUGCCUGUCGUAGUCGGUGCCGCGGUCGGGAGCCCCUCGGUGCUCCCAAGCGCGGCUGCAGCUGUAGGCUGCUCUGUGGUCUGGGGGGCCGUAUCUUCAGCAGCGCGGACAGGCUCGCCCGUCCCCUGGCUGGCAGCCUGGCCGGGGUCGACAUCCGACGCCGCACUACAGGAACAAAAGUAUAAUAAAAAAAAGCAAAGAGGAGUCCAAAAUACGUAAGUUGAACACUUACAGGUCCGAUCGACGGUGGGUCGCGGUGAACCUCCUCCUCGCCCGGCCGGUCGGCACCUGCCCCCCCAUCUCGACAACUUGCGGUGCAGGGGGGUCGCCGGCCACUCGAUCAGUAGCGGUCGGCGCAUUAUCUGGGCGGCUCCGAGGCCGUCGGACUAACGACGGUGCAGCCUCCUCGUCGUCGUCAUCGUCGUCAACGAUCCGCACGAGCCGACGACGCUUCGGCGCUUGGCUACUCUCCGCCGGUAGAUCUGCCGGCAACUCCGGUGUCGGCAAGGAAUCUGCCGGCAAUGGCCUUUUCCCCGCUACCCUCUCUUCGGUGGUCGGGACGGGGCGGGCUUGUUCCUCCUCACUGCUGGUGUAACGAGUACACCUAGCAGCAUCGACUUCUGGCAGGUCUUCUCCCGCAGGAUUCUCCAUCCCCGGUGCCAGUGAUACAUACACUGUGCACCGGUCGACAUCGCCGAUCUGCAAAAGCAACAAAGAUGAGUCAGCUACGGACGAUAUACGAAUGCUAAAACAAAAUACUCUGCAACAUACCUUUGGUGCUGGUCGGCCUAACUUGAAGGCUUGCACCCGAUCACUGCCGCGGAUGAAGCCUCCGUCCGCAAAGUUGAAUAGCUCAUUCAACAGCCGUUGUACCUCCGCCUUCUCCAAGAUCUCCGGUCGCAUCCUGGUCGGGUCCACGCUUCCGGAAUACUCGUACGCCGAGUGCACCCUCUUCUGGCAGGGCAUCACCCGACGGCAAAUGAAGUUGCCGACCACGCCAAGCCCAUCCAGGCGCGACCAGUCGAUCAGCUUCAUCAGAUCCGCCACUUGACCGUCGAACUCCGGGCGGUCGGUCCAGCUUACCCUCUUCUCGGGAAUGUACCCCACGUCGCAGAACGUGGAGCUGCCCGGUUCCUCCCUGACGUAGAACCACUUCCUAUACCAUUCGGUCAAGGAAGUGUUCCAUGGACAGUGUAGGUAGUGAUUCUUCAUUCCAUCACGAAGGUUGAGGUACACUCCACCUGCAACCUUAGAGCCUCCAACUGCUCCCUUCUUCCUCAAGCAGAAAAGGUAACGGAAAAGAUCGAAGUGCGGCUCUAUGCCAACAUAGGCCUCGCACAGAUGAAUAAACGUGGAAAUAAGGAGAAUUGAGUUCGGGUACAGAUUGCAAAUCCCGAUCUCAUAAUACAGAAGAAGACCUUGGAGAAAAGGAUGAACCGGAACCCCAAAGCCCCUCUUAAUGAAAUCUUCGAACACGACGAUCUCACCGGCACGAGGGUCGGGGAAGCUUUCUCCUUCCGGUGCUCUCCAGCCGCCGAGCUCCGAGCUGUGCAGGAGUCCCAUGUCGACGAGGUCACCGAGGGAUUUGGUGGUGCUACGGGACUUCUUCCACUCCUUGGCCAUCAGUUCAGCCCUCUUCUUGGCGUUGCUCUUCGCCAUUGGAGGUGAGAAGUGGAUUUGGGUUACGAAGAUGCAGGUGAUUGAAGGAGGCGAAAAUGGAAGGCUUGAGGGCAAUGGCAGGGUAAGGAGUACCGGCGGAACUGUCAGGUUUUUAUAACCCGCAACUCCACCUCUCCCACUUCCCGUAUUCUCGGGAAGUGAGCGGGCCAUGCGGCGGAUGCGGCGUUUCGGUUUAUAAUGAUUAUAGACAAUUAAUGCGGCGGAGUUUUCGUACCAAUUGAUGGUUCCCUUUUUCUCAAACCACGCAGAGGGCGGCUGUACAGUUGCCAGGCGCAACUUUUCAUGCGUCCAUCUGACAACCCAUCAGGAGGUCUCGUCAUGUCAACUUUAACUGAAAAGAUCGUUUCAAUAAAAAGAAGACAAAUAUGCCACAGAGUCAACAAUCCGGGGACUGCACCGACCACCGAGCACUUGACGCUCGGGGACUGGUCGCCCAGUCUAUCAGCUCGGAACUUCAAGGACAGCACCGACCACCGAGCACUCGACGCUCGAGGACUGGUCGCCCAGUCUAUCAGCUCGGAACUUCAAAGGCUGCACCGACCACCGAGCACUCGAUGCUCGGGGACUGGUCGUACAGUAUAGCAGCGCAGAAUUCUAAGGAGCGCACUUGGUGCUUGGGGACUGGUCGUCAUACUAUUAUACACCCGGGGACUGGUCGAUUAGUCUAUUCAAUUGCAGACGGACUGGUAAAUUCAAUUUUUUAGACCUUGCUACAAGGCUCAUACUUCGCCUUCCAGCAAGCUCCGGGACUACAUCGGUACGAUGCAUCUGGCGAUGCAUCUCAGUUACAGAAUUUCUUUGAGGACUUUUAUUUUGACCCUGGCACCACGUGCCUACGUCACCUACUACCAGGCUCGGGGACUAAGUGGGCACACUUCACCUUGCGGUGAAUAUGCUUGCUUUUUUGAUGUUUAUACGUUUCAAAAAAGUAAAGUGGGCACACUUCACCAGGAAAGAAAUCUUUUUUAAUUUAGAGCACCACGCAUUCUUCGAACAACUCGCUUCUUCGAUGUCGAUGUUGAUCAACUGUCUUUCGAGUUGGUCAAAGAACCGUUGCAACUGUUUGGGCGACUUUCCCACUUAUUGAAGACGUCAAGUCUCACUGAUCGAAGAAGCUCAAGACGGCGUGUUACAUCACAAUACAUGGUGCUCGGGGACUAGCUGUGGGGGUAUAAACCCCUAUACCCUUACGGCUAGACUUCGGCCAGGAGGCUUGGCCCAUUACGAGACGAGUUCAAGGCUUGAUCCGACAACCUGGAGUUUCGCGCAAGGAAACAAGAUGUGGAGAUCAAGCAGGAUUCUAGUCGGUUAGAAUAGGAAUUGAUAUCGAAUUAUCCAUGGCAAUUGUAACCGACUAGGAUUAGUUUCCGGAUCUGUAACCCUGCCCUCCAGACUAUAUAAGGAGGGGCAAGGGACCCCCCUAGGACAUAUCAUAUUCUCUCAACACAAAUCAAUACAACCAGACGCAGGACGUAGGUAUUACGCCAACUCGGCGGCCGAACCUGGAUAAAAAGCUUGUCCGUGUCUUGCGUCACCAUCGAGUUCGUAGUUUGCGCACCGUCUACCGAUAAACUACUACCGUGGGUAUACCCCAAGGUAGACUGCCGACCAGCUUUCGUCGACACUAUAGGACUAUUAAUAUUGAGCUUAGUAGGCCAACUCUCAAAGUCGAAGCAUAGAGAAUUACAUAUAUGUCCAUCACAUGGGUCCCACUUGUUAGUGUCUCAUCCCACUUCAACAAACACUCCAAACCAAACAGAAAACUAGAAUGGAUCCAACCCCCCAAAACCAAACAUGAAAUGGGCCCAUCCCAUCCCUAGAAAUCUAGGUUUCGUCCAACCCAUCCCUAAUCAACCCAAAACCAAACACAUGCUUAGUCCUAAUCUCCAUCUGCACCAUCUUUUAUGUUUUGUUCAUCACCUCAAGUGGACCCUGGCUAAACAAACUUAUUGCAAGCAUUAGUCCAUAUGGUUGGUACUCAAUUAUCAAAAUCAAAUUAGAGCUUUCACCGUCCAAAAUAAAACUUUGUGUUUAGAUCAUCACUAUGGCUCACAAAAAUCACCACAAAUUUGGCGUAAUUCCUUCGUUCCAAAAAUAAUGUCACUGUCGAGUUCGUGUUGAUCAAACUUUUUUAAGUUUAACUUGUUUUAUAAAAAAUAUUAGCAUGAAAUGUUUCUCUAAAUAAGUUUAAUAUGAAAAUAUAUUUAAUGAUUCAUCUAGUGAUAUUAAGUAUGCACCGUAAAUAUUAGUAUUUUCUUAUAUAUUAUUGGCCAAAAUUAUAAAUAUUUGACUCGUCAUUACCAAAAGAGAUAAAUGGUCAAAAUGUCACUAGCUUAACUAUACUUGUGUAUUUUUUCCUGUCCUGAGAAAUUUUUUUUCGCUAAAUCAAAGACAGACCUUAGAAAGUUACAAUAAAUAGCUUACUUUUUGGGACCAUACACAGCAUGUUUUGUUUGGAUUGAAUAGUGUCCUUUGAGUUAUAUAUAAGCAUUUCCGUAAACACAUUUCUGAUGCAUGCAUUAAAAGUAUUUGAGUUACUCCGUAAACCAAAAAAAAAAAAAGAGUCAGUUUCCUCGCCGGGCGGCUGGGCACGGCACGCACUCAGGUUUGGCAACUUCCCUUCCACCUUCUUCGAUUGCUUCCAUUUCUAUCCCCAAAAUCUCCACGCGUUCGUGCUUUUCUACGCCUUCCCGGUUCUUGUUCGAACCUGCGGAUCCAUGUCUCCAUGAUUCCUCUCGCCUCCUUGCUGCAGCUUGCCUGAGCACCACCUGUUCGACGGAAUGCCCCAGUGACCCCGACGCCACGGCCGACAUGUCAGGCGACCGGCGCGUUCCUGGCGAUGUGUGCAGGAUCAACGCCCUGCCCGACAACGUGCUCCUCCACAUCUUGUCCUACCUGAAUGCCCGCCAGGUCGUGCAGACGUGCGUGCUGUCACGGCAGUGGCGCAACCUCUGGCGUUCGGUGCCCCGCAUCAACGCCACGUCCGACGAGUUUGAGCACAUGUCUGACAACUACGACGAGGACACCGUGCUGUUCAAGAAGUUUGUCAACCGUUUCUUGAUGCUCCGCAACCCAUUUGCCUUGGAUGACUUCCGGCUGUGGUAUGACAUGCCUUGGUACUCCUAUGACUAUUCAGAAGAUGCUAACCUAUGGAUCUGCCAUGCUCUACAUUGCAAUGCUCGAUCUAUCAUGGUCACGAUUCGGGUGUAUAGUUUGGACCUGGAUCCCAUGGUGUUUAUUUCAGGACGCAUCUUGACAAGGCUGCAUCUUUCCAAUGUUAACUUGUUCCCUGGUUUCUUUUGCCAACUCGGAACAUGCUGUGAAGCAUUGAAAUAUCUCUACUUAUGUGACUGUCUCAUGUUCGACGUUGAGAUCACCUCCAAGACGCUGAAGGUUUUGAUCAUUGAUGUUGGUUGUCACUACGCAUUUGAAGAACAGUGCUCAAUUUUGAUCCCCAGCCUCGUCUUUCUUGAAUACUGUAACUUCACUCAAGAAAGGUUACCACUGCUGAAGAACAUGGAGUCACUGGAGAGAACAUGUCUUCUACUCGAUACCUGCACUGAGGAUGGUAUCCGUCAGUUCCUCAAGGGCCUCUCUGGUGUUACUGAUUUUGAUUUAGACAUCAGUUAUCAAGGAAAUAUGGUAUUGCAUCUUUAUUCAACACUCUGCUUCCAUGCAUAUAUUUAUGAGUCAAUAUCUAAGACCUAAGCAUGGCAUAUAUUCUUUAUUCUUUUGCAAAACCAAGUGUUUCACAGUUUAUUUUGAUGCCAGGACCUAGAGGAUGAUUAAUGCUCUCAAUUGAUAACAUAACACAAUUUAGUUCUCGUGCUCAGUUCAUUUGUAGUAGGUUUACAUAAGCUUGUGGAACAUACAUAGCCUUAGUUGGUGCUUUGACACAAUGAUGUGACAAGAGCUUAAAUGCCUAGUCUAUAGGGGGGGUGGGGGGGUCUUUAACUUUUGUCUACUUUCCAAACAGCAAGUGCACCCCUAUACUUACAAUCAGAUCAGUAGAAUCCAGUAGAUAGGUCACCCCUGCUUUCACCAGUGUAUCUGCCUGCCUUGCACUAAAGUCAUCUAUCAUAAUUGAUGCUUACCAAAUAUUUGCGCUCUGGAUGGUUGAAUCUCACUAGGAAAGUAGGCAGAGUAUAUUGCAAUGUGAACUAUUCUUAUUAAAAAAAGAUUUGUGUUUAGUGUGACCUUUGUCAGAUAUUAUAUUCCAAAGAUAUUAUCACCAAUAUUUGGCACAUAACUUUAGCUUGUUUCAAUUAUCUUGACAACUUUGCUGAAGUCAUGAAUGUUUUAUGAAAUAUGGAAGUCUUUAUCAUGUCGUAAUCCUAUGAACCUUUUGCAGCUAAAUAUGGGAAAUAGACAAUGGUGCCCAAAAUUCAACAAUCUUACAACCCUGACACUCAGUCAAUGGUGUCUGCAUCCAGACUUCUAUCCAUUGAUAGUCUUCCUUCAGAACUCACCUAGUCUGAAGAAUCUAAGUCUGAAACUCAGAGGGGUACAUGGCUCUCUCAACAUUUUAAUUGAUCCUUGUACAGAAUUUGAUGCAUGUGCCAUCAAAGUGAAACUUGUGUCUUCUCAUAUUUCAGGUUGGCCAUACACAUCAGAGAUUCAUUGGGGAGCUUGAAGAAAGGUCAUUCAGCUGUGAGCACCUUGGUAGCGUUGAUAUUGUUUGCUGGGGGGUUCAAGAACAUGAUCCUGUGCUCGACAACCUGGUGGAGCUUCUGACCGACAAUGGCAUAGAACCUGAUAAGAUUCACAUCAGUAUCUUGCUAUAGAUUUCAUUUGCAUCAGUCACUGGAACAAGUCACAGUUCAUUCACUCAUUUGUGGACUUAGGACCAUACGCACGUUUGGUUCACCUGGAUCUUAGUUUCAGUUUGGAUGGAUUCAUGUCGCGGAAAACUAGAUAACCUGUCUGCGCACGAAUUUUAAUACGUUGUUACCAACUCAUAUCUGCUUGAGCAGCUUUAGUCUAUUGCUUUUAAGUAUUGGUUCAGGCCAAUGCGAUCAAUAACAAUACCAUGUUAAAGGCUUGAAGACAUUUGGAUUUGGAGUUUUAUUCUUUUGACUUCAGCUUGUGUGACAAAUUUCUGUGCAUUUAUGAUACGCCAUUGCAAUUCCCUGAUGCAAAUAAUUUAUAUGUUUUUUUUAUUACAAUGCUACUCGGUACAAACUAAGCUUAGUUCAGAGUGAAUUGAGAAACUUUUCUUGAAAUGUAAUACAGUACAAAAUAAAACAAAUUAGGGUCGGCACGCGACGGCCCAUGGGCCAUCCAGCAAAGAAUCUCAAUUGUGACCAGGGCUACCAUUGCUUGCAGGCCGAAAAGGCGAAAAUGUGACCACUGACCCACUCACCCUGUCAAAAAAAAAAAAAACACCAAACAAACAAACAAACUCUCCCACAGAAUCAAAAUCAGCUCACCCACUCAGCUUCCUAUCCCGCAGCGGCGCACCCCCCCUCGCCGGCAGCCGGCGGCGGCGAGUACGUCUCCUGCCGUUACCACCAGCAAAUUCCCCCCCCGUUGCGGCCACUCCCCACUUCCCUCUUCCUGCUUGGUCGCGCCUUCGUUGUGCUCAUCUCUUCUCCCUCCGAGUCCAGGCGCGGGCAGGAAGUGGGAGGAGGUCCAGAUGCUACUAUGCUGCUGUCCUUUUCCCCACCAAAUCGAGACCUGUGCUCCGCGCUCGCCGUUUCACCCGAGCUGCUUGCCGCGGAGCUCGCUCAGCUCCGGGGAGCAGGGGAGGAGCAAAAAGAGCAAGUUCCACCGCGUCAGGGCGCAGGUUUUCAAGUCCAAGAACCAGUCUUUGCGCUCCCAAUCCCACCGGGAUGAUGGCCACGGGGACCCUACGGAUAAAAUCCCGAGAAAGGAUUUGCCUUGUUCCGCGGCGCCGUCGCUGCCGGACGCCGGGGCGGUCGCGCUCUGGCUGCGUUACUGCCGGAGCGCGCUCGACGUCCGGAGAACGCACGCGGUUGCCCUGCGGUCGCUCGGCAGCCUGGGGAUGUUCGUGUCCAACAAUUUGAUCAGCGCUUACGUGCGGUUCGACGAGGCUGCUAAUGCGAGGAAGGUGUUCGACGAAAUGCGCGAGAGGAGCGUCGUGUCGUGGACGGCUAUGAUGAAUGGGUAUCAGAAGCUUGGCCGCCACGGUGAGGUUGUGAGGCUUUUGAUGGAUAUGCUGGCCACUGGCAUCGAAGGUAACAGCUUGACUUUUGUUUGCCUGUUGAAAUCCUGUGGGGAGCGAUGUGAUGCCAAGUUGGGGCAACAGGUCCACUGUUGCGUUGUGAAGGGUGGCUGGAGCAAUGUGAUAGUGGACAGCGCUGUCGCACACUUCUAUGCUCAAUGCGGUGAUGUUGCCGCUGCUUCAACUGUGUUUGAUAGGAUGGCUUCCCGCGAUGUUGUCUCAUGGACAACGAUGAUCACGGCUUAUGUGCAGCAUGGGCAUGGUGACAAAGCUCUUCAGAUGUUUCCAAAAAUGGUGUCUGAGGGAUUUCGCCCCAAUGAGUUCACUGUUUGCAGCGCCCUCAAGGCUUGCGCAGAGGAGAAGGCUCUAAGAUUUGGGAAGCAGUUGCAUGGUGCGAUUGUGAAAAGGCUGUACAAAUAUGAUAUCCAUGUCGGGAGUGCACUUGUCACUAUGUAUGCCAGAUGUGGUGAGGUAUUUGAUGCUCAGGCAGUGUUUGAUAAGAUGCCAAGAAGAAACACUAUUACAUGGACUUCAAUGAUCUCUGGAUACGCUCAAAGUGGGUGUGGUGAAGAAGCUGUCUUGUUGUUCCGAAAGAUGAAGAUGCGCAGAGUAUUUGUCAACCAUCUUACUGUUGUUGGCCUCCUUAGUGCUUGUGGCUCUAUGCAGUCAAUUUAUCUUGGAAAAGAACUUCAUGCACAGAUAAUAAAGAACUGUAUGGAACAGAAUCUUCAGAUUGGGAGUACGCUUGUUUGGUUUUAUUCCAGAUGUGGGGAGCAUACGUAUGCUGCAAGAAUUCUAGAAGCGAUGCCUGACCGUGAUGCUGUCGCAUGGACAGCUAUGAUUUCAGGCUAUAACAAUCUUGGCCAUAAUGUUGAAGCACUUAAAUCAUUAGAUGAGAUGUUAUGGGAUGGCGUGGCACCAAAUACUUACACUUAUUCCUCAGCUUUGAAAGCUUGUGCCAGAUUGGAGGCUCUUCGAGAUGGAAGGAGGAUCCAUGGUGUUGUUAACAAGACCCAAGCUUUCUCAAAUGUCUUUGUGGGAUGCUCACUGAUUGAUAUGUACAUGCGGUGUGGGAAAGUCGAUGAAGCUCGAAGAGUCUUCGAUGCCAUGCCAGAGCACAACUUAGUGACAUGGAAAGUGAUGAUUACAGGAUUUACUCAGAAUUGCCUCUGUGAAGAGGCUUUAAAAUACAUGUACCUAAUGCAGCAAGAUGGGUAUGAUGUUGAUGACUUUGUGCUUUCGACGGUUUUGUCUUCAUGUGGAGGUCAUCAGUUGAAAUCAGACUGCAUCCUCAAUAACCUGUCCACUUUCAGUGAAGUUUUAGACUAGUUAGCGAAUACCAGCAAAAUGCUGGUACAACUGUACAAAGUCACUGGUUGGUCUCAGGAUUCUGGAACAAGUUUCUUUGUCUGAUUGUGCAUUUGAAAACACAACGAGAAGCCUGUCAUUUCAAGGUGUGGGUACAUAUAUCUGUACCUCAAAGCAACCUCUACUAACUAUUUUCUUCUGUUUCCUUACGAAGCUGUGUAUAUACCAUAGUUCAAGCAUUUUUAGCUUUGUUGCAACCAGAAUAGUUCUUGCAGUUUAGUUUAUAUAUCCUGGAUGAAUGGGAAUUUGUCUACUUCUGUAAACAGGUUUUCAUCGUACUGAUAGUGCAUUUAUUUGGUAUUUUAUAUGUUAAUAUAUAUUUUUUUAAAACUUGGUCAGAGCUAGAGAGUUUGACUUGAAAAACUAAAACGUAGGACAUAUGUGUUGCAUCAUUACUGAUAGGUUAUGGUACAUAUUUUCGCAUGUUUAUCUGCAAAUGGAUGCAUGGAGCUCAAACAACUUGAACAGUUAGCAAGCCCUAGUUCCCUCGGUGCAGCUUCUACAACUGUUCAGUGGUCGUUAUACUGUAGCUUCAGUUGUCUCUGUUGGAUCCACUCCCAGCUGAGACAGCCUCGCCCAUGGACACCUCGGCACUUGGAAGAUCAGAGAGAGCAAGGACUGGAGAAGAUGCCUCUAAUAACAGACGACACGGGAGUCCAUUCAUCCUGCAAAUUCAAUGCUACAAUGGACCGAUAUCUCUGACGAGAUCAACCCCAGAAUCCAUUGGGCUUCCUAAACAUACUCAUCCAAUCCUUCGGAUAAAAAAAUUAAUGAGAGAGAGGAGAAAACAUCUCCCGCCGGCACUAGUUUUUGCACUUGACACCGAUUGGGUGAAGUGAAAGCACGUUCGCUUAAAGUUGCAAUGGCAAACCAUCACAGAUGAGAAAUUCUAGAGCUGGAGAUGAAUGUGAGGAGGGGGCCUCAGACCGACAAGAGGGGGCAGGCCCAAGCCCAACAACGAAGGCUAUCUUUUUUUUUCUUUUUGAGGUGCUGACCUGCUAAAUUUAAUUAGUGGGGGCCUGCAGGUAGGCUUGCGUGUAUAUACUAUACUAGAUUUAAUUUCAUCAGUUCCGGAAUCAAGACGGCUGUGGAAAUUGUUGGUCACCAAAAUUAUAUGGUUAUUACAUUACUUUACCUCUGAUGAUUGAGAUGGAAAUCAUAAAGGACAAUAGAGUUUUUCUUCUUUUUUUUGUGGAGAGGACAACACAGUUAGGCGGUUGACACUGUCUUUUCUGAUCAAGUUAGAUUUUUUUUUUUCAGAUUAAGAUAAGAAAUAUCCAGUUCACGGUGCACCCUAUAGCUAAACGAAAGAAUUCCUCCAACAAUAAGGAAUGCUAAAAUUGGUUGUUAUAGUAGUAGAUAUAGCAUGUUAAAAGAACAUUCAAGCCAGUGGAGAGUGGACUACUUUAUUCGUUGCUGGCCGGACCUGGGAUGACCAAGUGAACGACUGAAGAAAUUGAAAUUUCGGUUGCGUGAUUGACGGAUUCAACCACAGGAGAAAAAUGUACUGAUGCAUGAUUUUCUCUUGUUUUUUUCUUAAUUAUAUAUAUAAGUAGUCAAUGAUGAUGUGGUGACAAAGACACGGAUGAACUGGCUGGGUUGUUCAUGUAGUAAGUAUUUAUCUGCCCGGGGAGGUGGUGAAUGAAUGAAACACAACAAUCAGUACCACACGUGAGGUUCGGGCGCCGAGCUAUGACGAUGAACGUCGUCGUUGCCGGCGUCCUUCUCCUCAUGCUCGCCGGCCUCAACAACCUGUUCCCGGUGGCCGCCGAUUUCUGCGACAACCUUAAACAGGUCGCCGCCACCCUCCCAAAGAACACCUCCUCGUCCCCCCUGCACUUCGCCACCGCCACCUUCGGCCAAGCGCCCGACGUCGUGUACGCGCUCGCGCUCUGCCGCGGCGACGUCCUCGACGACACCACCUGCGGCGACUGCGUCAACAACACGUUCAGCAAGCUGACACCGCCGCCGCCGCAGACCUGCUACCAGGCCGCCGCCUACUACGACAGCGCCUGCAGGCUGGUCUACUCCGGCAACAACAUCCUCGCGCCGCCCUCCAACAGCACGGCGGACAACGGCGACGACGCGCCGUUCACGCGAUGGAACCCCAACAACAUCACUGCCGGCGGUGGCGGCGACGACGACGACACGCGCCUCGUCGUCAGCCGCGUCCACGAGCUGGUGGUGGAGACGGCGCAGCUCGCGGCCAGCACGGCGCCCAGGCGCUUCGCCACGGGCGUCCUGGACAGCGGUGCGAUAUUUCCCAAGGUGUACUCGGUGGCGCAGUGCACGCCGGACCUGUCCGCCGGCGACUGCCUGGCGUGUCUGCAGCGUCUCCUGGACAUGGUCAACUCCACCAUGGCCGUGCGGAUGGGAGCACAGAUCCAUGUCAUACGGUGUUAUUUCAGGUACGAGGCGUAUGCGUUCUACGACAGCAACCCCAUGCUGCAGCUUGGGCCGUCGGCGCCGGCGCCAGCUCCGGACCCGGUGAAACACAAGAGUAAGCUAAAGUGCCCAAUUUCCCAUGGCUGUAAUUUUCUUCCUAAAUUAAUUACCCAUGAUCUUUUAGUUAAUUAUCAUGUUAUAUCAUGUCGAGAUCAGAGCGUGGGAGCAAGCUGUGGGUGAUUCCCGUAGUUGUGGUUCCUCUGGCGGCAGUAGCAUUUCUCUGCUUCAUCUUCUACUCCCCUUGCUUCAGGAGGUACAGGAAAGGUAUGCUUCAGAAAUCAUGUUGAACCAUGUUCGUUCAUUUAUAAGAUAUGACUAAACAUGCGUGAAAGAGGGAUUCUCAUCUGUAAUUCUGUAUAUAUAUAUGUUCAGGCAAAGCAAUGAGGUUACAACAAGCAGGAUCAAGGCGUACUCAGGACUUGCAUGGAGAUGAAGAACUAGUUUGGGAUGGGAAGAAUUCAGAGUUCUCAGUGUUCGACUUUGAACAGGUACUGGAGGCCACAAAUAAUUUUUCAGAAGAAAACAAACUUGGACAAGGUGGCUUCGGUGCUGUCUACAAGGUACACUAGUUAAAGCAAGUUCAGUCAUUACUAUAUGAUGAUUGUGUGGAUUAGACUCAUUAUAUGGAUGAUCAAGUAAGAACCUAUAUAUGUUCUUUUCUACAAACAUCGCUAAUAUGUUUUAAUGUUUUCUUCUCUUCGCAGGGCCAGUUUGCUGAUGGAUUGCAGAUAGCAGUCAAAAGACUUGCUUCACAUUCAGGGCAAGGUUUCACAGAGUUCAAGAAUGAAGUCCAACUCAUAGCCAAACUCCAACACAGGAAUCUGGUUAGGCUCUUGGGAUGCUGCUCUCAAGAAGAAGAGAAGAUAUUGGUCUAUGAAUACUUGCCAAACAAAAGCUUAGACUUCUUCAUAUUUGGUACGUACAAUUUUUGUUAGUUUAAUUUACAUACUGCCUAAUGUAGACUAACUAACAAUUACUUGAGAUCCUAUUUAUGUCAGACAAUUAUUGAGUACACAUUUCAAUUAUCUUUCCAUAUGAAGUUAUACUCAUUUUCAAAUGUUGUGCAGAUGAAAACAGAAGAGCUAUGCUAGAUUGGUCCAAACUUCUUGUGAUAAUUGAAGGAAUAGCACAUGGACUUCUUUACCUACAUAAGCACUCUCGGUUGCGUGUCAUACAUCGAGAUCUUAAGCCGAGUAACAUUCUCUUGGACAGUGAAAUGAAUCCUAAAAUUUCAGAUUUUGGGCUUGCAAAAAUAUUCAGCUCAAAUAACAAUGAACGGAACACUACACAGAGAGUGGUUGGUACAUAGUAAGUUUCAAAGAAAUAAAAUAAUUUAUGAGCAUUUAUAUUCUGAGUCAACAAUAUAAAAUGAUUUUAACAUGUAUGCUAAAUCCAUUUUUAGUGGUUAUAUGGCUCCGGAGUAUGCUUCCGAGGGCAUCUUCUCGAUUAAAUCAGACGUCUUCAGCUUUGGCGUUCUUGUUCUUGAGAUCCUUAGCGGAAAACGGAAUUCUGGCAGCGAUCAAUGUGGAGAUUUUAUCAAUCUCAUUGGAUAUGUGAGUCAUAGAUACAAACUUAACCAUGUAUCUUGUUUUGUUUGUUUGCUAUCAAACUUACAUUUCAAAUGAAAUUACAAACAGGCAUGGCAAUUAUGGGAUGAGGAGAGGUGGAUCGAUAUCGUGGAUGCAUCAUUGGUAAACAAGAGCCAGUCCACAGAAAUGAUGCGGUGUAUUAACAUUGCAUUGUUGUGUGUACAAGAGAAUGCAGCCGAUCGACCAACCAUGGCAGAUGUGGUUUCCAUGCUAAGCAGUGAGACGACCACAAUCCUGGCUGAACCUAAGAAGCCACCAUAUUUCCAUGUGAGGGUUGGAAAUGAGGACGCACCCACUACUGCUACUGAGUCAUGUAGUAUAAAUGAUAUGACCAUAUCUGUCACAACUCCUAGAUAAUUUUUUUGCCCUCUUGCUAUCACGUGUUUUUGUAUUGUCCCAAUCUAGUACUAUGUAUAAUGGAUAAGUCUAAGGACAAAAGGCUAAACUAAGAAAUUAUCAAUUAAUUAUUUUUAAUAAAAACACUCAUAAGAGUGCAUAUAUAUGAAAUUUAUCGAAACAAAAAAAUGACUAGUACAAAAGAAAAGACUUCAGCGACAUCACCAGAAAACCAAACCCCAUAUGAAAAAAGGACCUACAAGAAACACAAUUUUUGAAGGGGGAAGCAGCAUCGGGGAGGAGGCCCUUGGCCAUGCUCUAGAGGCAGAGGUGCCUCUCUGUAAAUUUUGUUUGACCAUCUGCGAAAAUGAGCAUUGUAUUAGCAUGAUUGCAGUUAAAGAAGGGGUGUUUGAUUGCCUUAUUACAAGCAUAAAAAACAAUAUUUUUUAUUGCCACUUCAAUUUCUUUUAGCUAGAUUACCAAAGAAAAUUUUCAGGGAAUUCUAGUUUCCAAAAAAAUUAUUUGAAAACAAAAUGCUCGUGCCUUGGUUCAUCAAAUAUUAAUACAUGGGGCAAAUAGAAAAUUGACCAUGUUUAUAUAGAUCUCAAAUGAAAGUGUUCUUCUCAUAUAUUAAGGGUAAAGUUUUUUCUGCCCUCAAGGGCACAUGCUCCCCCUCUCUCACUUAUUGGAUUCGCAUUAAGAAGUGUGCAAACACAUAUCUCAAUGCAGUUUCGCUUUGAGAUGUGUGUUUACACACUUCUCAAUGUGAAUCCAAUUGGUGGGAGAGUGAGAGCAUAUGCCGUUGAGGGCAGAAAAACCGUGUCUAUUAUUAGGUCAAUAUUGGAAAGCUAAGCUACUAGGUUAUGUCAAGCAAUGAACUUGUCUUAAACUGAAUAUUCAAUGGUGCCUGAUUCAAGACAUUGGCCUCUUCAACUCGUGAUGCACCAUCUCAUCUAGUUUGUGGUGGUUCUUCUUUCUUCAAACGCUCAAUCUCUUACAGUUAUAUGGUGUCCAUGUUUUAUGAAUCUAGGUUUGAGAAGCAAAAGGUCUGUAUACCAAAAUAAUCCUGAAAAUUAUGCUUGGUUCGCCAUUUGUGGCGCGUUUCAGCUAUGAACAUAAGCUGACCAGAGUCCACUUCUAGAUUAUUAUUGCGUGUAUAUCUUGGGUAUCUCCCAGUAGCAUCACACAACCGGCCAGGAUAGCAACAACCAACCAACAAGUUGAAUGAAGCAAUAAUUUACCAAAGCAUAUGACCAAAUAAAAGCGUGUUUGUUUUUAUCAGGAAGCUGGAAAGAGACAACGUUUACGCCAUGUGAGGUAUUGUUGCCGGCCGGGACAUGUAUAAGACCAAGUGAAUUACAAGAACCAGCUGGUGAUGCCGUGAUUGAUGGUUUCAAAAUAAGGUAUUAUUAACUCACCAGUCACCACUCACCACUGAACGAAGACAACUGAACUUUUGUUGCAAGCGACGAUCAUGACUUGGACUAAAACAAUAUUUUGACGGCCAUGAGCAUGUGAACGAAGUCCACUUCGUUUUUAUCAGGGGCUUGUUCAAGUAGGGUUGGUAGGAACAGUACAAGAUGAUGAAGACAGAAUUUGUCAAACUUGGAGAAUAAAUCAAAAGAUACAAGUGUGGCUUCCUAAUUUGUACGUUUUUCCUCUUCUUUCUUUUCUCCUAAUAAUAAGCAAAGAUAUGAAGAUGAAGAUAUCUGUUGAUUUUUUUUCCUCUAAUAGCUGAAGAGAGCGAUUGUAUGACCUAUAGCUAGCCGGCCUGAUUAACUAAUGCAUUAUUCAACAAAGUAUGGUAUUGACUGACUCAGUGCUGAAAGCAUGCAUGAACGCUUCUUAAUUUGCCUUUUCCACAUUGACAUACAUGAUGGUGAUAUGGAGACCUCGAUCCAUCAGCAAAAGAACAAGCACGCAGUAAUAACAAUCUAGAAUCUAGGAUGCACGUCCUUUAUUUGCAUAGCGCCUAGCUAGCCAAGCCAUGGCGGGCGUCCCGCCGCUCAUCAUCCUCCUUAGCUUCCUCCUCGUGCUGCCGUCAGCGACGGCGAUAGGCAAGGUCUGCGGCAACGCCGCCGGCAACUACACGGCCAACGGCACAUACGAGUCCAACCUCGCCUUCCUCGCCGCGACGCUCCCAACCAACACCUCCUCGUCGCCUCAGCUCUUCGCGAACGCGACCGCCGGCCAAGCUCCCGGCGACGUGGUGUACGCGCUGGCGCUCUGCCGCGGCGACAUGACCAGCAACCUCACCGGGUGCAGCGCCUGCGUCGCCGGCGCGUUCCAGUACGCGCAGAGGAUGUGCCCCAACGCCAAGGCCGCCAGCGUCUACGACGACGACUGCCUCGUCGGCUACUCCAGCGACAACAUCCUCGUCCCGGCCUAUAACGUCACCCGGGACAUGAGCACGCUCUUCGAGUUCUGGAACGGCGCGGCGACCGGCGCCGGCGCCGGCAGCAACGCCACCCUGGUGGCCGCCGGCGUCAAGGACCUGCUGACGCAGACUGCGCAGCUGGCGGCCGACAGCUCGAGGAGGUUCGUCACGGCAUACAUGGACGCCUCCAGCACCGCCGUCCCGACGCUCUACUCCCUGGCGCAGUGCACGCCGGACCUGUCCGCCGGCGACUGCAUGGCGUGCUUCAGGCAGAUCCUCGGCACGCUCAACGCCACGACGCCAGUGGCAGGGCGGGUCCUCCUGCUGCGGUGCAACUUCAGAGUCGAGAACAUCAGGUUCUUCGACGGCACACAGAUGAGGCAGAUCACGCCGUCAUCCGGCGCUCCAGCACCACCACCUCCGGCUCCGGCGACAAAUAAGGGUAUGUCAGUAUGUGUGGCGAAGUUCAAGCUAUUUUUAUGUUUCUGUCUAAAUAAAUGCAUGUUCUGUUCUGAUGUUCCCAAACAACAAAGUUAGGCCUUAUUUAGUUCAAAAAAUUUUGAAUUUUGACACUGUAGCAAUUUCGUUUUUAUUUAAUAAACAUUGUCCAAUCUUAGAGCUGGACUUACAAGAUUCGUCUCGCGAUUUAACUAUGCAAUUAGUUUUUGUUUUUAUCUAUAUUUAAUGAUCCAUGCAUAUGCCGCAAGAUUCGAUGUGAUAGAGAAUCUUAAAAAGUUUUUGGUUUUUGAAGUGAAAUAAACAAGCCCUUAAUUAGAAGAUUAUUAUGACUACUUGCUGAUGAUCAGACACACAAUGUCUGGACCUGAUUAUAAUUGUGACCUGAUUAUUCAUGCAUGCUCGUUUGUCUAGGAUCUGGGGUGAAGGCAUGGGUAAUUGCGGUGUCUGUAGCACUUCCUGUAGCGGUAGUAGCAAUCUGCUUCAUCCUUUACUGCCGUUGGCAAAGGAGAAGGUACAGAAAAGGUGAGUUGAUUGUUACCAACAUCUCUCUCUCUCUCUCUCAUAUAAUUCGUACAAUUAUAUUAGACAUUUAAAGUGAUCAAAUUCUCGACUAUUAUGCAGGUGGAUCUAGAUUACGACAAAAGCAUACUCGCAACAACUUGAAAGGAGACGAGCUAGAUUGGGAAAUGGAAGCAGAGCUCUCGGAGUUUUCUGUUUUUGACUUUCAUCAGAUAUUGGAGGCUACAAAUAACUUCUCUGAAGAAAAUAAACUUGGGGAAGGUGGGUUUGGCCCUGUCUACAAGGUAAAUAUGCAGCACAUGUGUAUAGUCCUAACUAUGUGAUGAUCAAAUAGUCCAGACAUUUAUAGUCCUUAACUAUGAAACUAGGCAUAAACAUACCAGGAUAGCCUCAUCAUGGUGUAUAUAACUAUAUAUAUGUGAAGGUUGCAUGUUUGGUUAACGAUAGAUACGCUAGCUAGCUAGUUGCCUAUUUCUAAAUGAAGACUGCUGCAUAUAUUCUUCUAAUGAAGAUGAAUGUGGUUUUUUUUAGGGAACUAAGAUGAAUGUGGUAGAUUUGCUUUCCCUAGUUACCUGGGAACUGUGACUUGUGCAUCACAAAGAUCCUGAUUGCGGCAAAAUUAAACACCAGUGAAGUAACAUUUGAAUACUUGAUUUCUUCACAGGGUCAGUUUCCUGAUGGUAUUGAGAUAGCUGUUAAGAGACUUGCUUCACAUUCAGGGCAAGGUUUUGUAGAGUUCAAAAAUGAAGUUCAACUCAUAGCUAAACUGCAACACACAAAUUUGGUUAGGCUCUUCGGAUGUUGCUCCCAGGGAGAGGAGAAAAUUUUGGUCUAUGAAUACUUGCCAAAUAAAAGCUUGGACUUCUUUAUCUUUGGUACGUAUUUUAAUUUUUUCACUUAGGUUUGAUACUGAUUAUGAUAACGAUGUUCCAAAAUGAUUGAAAACUUCCUCAGUAUGUUGUUUCUGGCAGCCGUAUGAGAAUAUUUCCCUCCUUAGAUUUUUCUAAGUAUAUAUACAGUUUGCAGUUUAUUGGUUUGUUUAGUGGCUUUCUGUUAUACUAACAUUAAUUUAAUGGAUUUACAGAUGAAAAUAGAAAAUCAUUACUGGAUUGGAACAAACGUCUGGCAAUAAUUGAAGGGAUAGCAGAAGGACUUCUCUACCUACAUAAGCACUCACGCUUGCGUGUCAUACAUCGAGAUCUUAAACCAAGUAACAUUCUUUUGGACAGUGAAAUGAAUCCUAAAAUUUCAGACUUUGGGCUAGCAAAAAUAUUUAGCUCAAAUAACAAUGAAGGAAGCACUACAAGGAGAGUGGUUGGUACAUAGUAAGUAGUAGAAAUUGAUCUACUUAUGGACAAUUAUAAUACAUAUCACCCAAUGCAUAUAAAAUAAUUGAUACUUAAUUACUUUUCGUUUUAGUGGCUAUAUGGCUCCCGAGUAUGCCUCCGAGGGCCUCUUCUCUAUCAAGUCUGAUGUAUUCAGCUUUGGUGUUCUCAUUCUUGAGAUCCUUAGCGGAAAAAGGAAUUCCGGUAGCCAUAAUUGUGGAGAUUUCAUCAAUAUCCUUGGAUAUGUAAGUUUAUCAAUUUACAUGUAGCAUGUAAAAUCAUUUUGUUAGUUUACUGUGAUAUCUACAUUAAUCAUUUGUGUGAUGAAACUACAAACAGGCAUGGCAAUUAUAUGAAGAGGGGAGAUGGAGGGAACUCAUUGAUUCUUCAUUGGUACCCAUGCACCACUCAACUGAAAUCAUGAGGUGCAUGAACAUUGGAUUGUUGUGUGUACAAGAGAAUGCAGCUGAUCGGCCAACCAUGUUAGAUGUUGUUGCAAUGCUAAGUAGCAAAGCUAAGAUCUUGGCUAAGCCGAAUCACCCAGCAUAUUUCAAUGUACGGGUAGGAAAUGAAGAGGAAUCCACUACUGGUACUGUGUCACGCAGUAUCAACGAGAUGACCAUAUCUGUCACAACUGCUAGAUAGUUUGUUUGUCCCAUGUGGUUACCGUUGAGCCAAUAUAUAUAGGAAUUGCUCUUUCGGUAAUGCUCGAUGCAGAUAUUCUAUUGAUACUGUCAAUCACUUCAGGUUCAAAAGCAGCUUUCACUAUCAGAUUUUGAUCCGACAGAGGGCAAUCAGCGCAGUGAUACCAUGACGUUUUACUGCCGGUUGCUCACCCAGUAAUGAUGCUCAUUUCAUGAAAAAAAGAAAACCCCAAAAGAAGAGAACACCAACGCUCUAGUCAUGCCCACACCAUAGCAUUUUGAUUUAUCCAUAGAUCGAUUCAUCACAGAGAGACGGGGAGAUUGAAUAUAGUUUUACAGUUGUGCGCGCAAUGCGCACUAGGUCCUCCUCAGCAGGCUGCUAAGAAGGGAAUUACAGUAACAUGGAUCACCACAUCAUAGAGAGAGAUUCAAAACAUUACACAUCGAUUCAUCAAAUCACACAGAGAGAUAACACAUGAGAGAGAGAGAGAGGGGAAAGACUCGAUGCAUCAUCAAUUCAUCCACACAUCAUUGUGCCUAGGAGCUCCGCCUGCACCCCGUGCUCUGGCUAGCGAGGCCGGUUACGCACCCACCAUGUGUUGGCCGGGGAGGCCACCCUGCAACCCCUGCGCAGCUAGGAGGCCACCCGUUCCCCCGCACGUCGACUAGGCAAUCGAUUGGGGAGUCCGCCCCACUCUGGCUAUGAGGAUAGAGGAGGGGAGAAGAGAGGAGGUGUGAGAAAGACUGGCCAAGAAGAGGAGUGAUAUAAUAUAAGGAUGAAAGAGAGGGGGAGCAGACAUCAACUAUAGAACUUAAAUGGAUUGAAUCAAAUUUUUAGGUUCAGGCUAGGGUCACUACCAAAUGAUAAUAUAAUCAACAAUCAUAGUAUUAUUGUCAGGUUGUACUACCAACAAACAAUGAUAAUUAUUUAUCAACACUAGUUGACCUCAAUAUUCUUUCUACAUGAUUUAGAUUUGUUUUUAACUCUCGUAUUUAUAAUUGUAUGUAUAGAUGGCUAAAUGGGUGGCCCAGCCUGGCUCGGAGCCUAUUGAGGGCACGGCCCUGUUAACUGAAUAUGUCAUGUCGUAUCAGCCCGGAGGCUGAGCCAUUGGCUCAGACACGAACCUAAUAGAGUUUAGCCAGGCUGAGACGCCCUGAAAGACCGCUGGGUCCAAGCUGUACCCGAGAUGCGCCAUUGCACGCUAGUGUGCCCCUGAUCUGUCAUGCAGUUGUCGUGCCCUUGCUCCACCACGCCCAUCACUACUGCAGACAGGAUCUUUGCCGAGGGCCUUAGGUCUUCGGCAAAGGCUAUAAGACCCUCGGCAAAGGCUUUGCCGAGGACUGCCCUCGGCAAAGAGUCCUCGGGAAAUUUCCCGUCGGCAAAGGGAUCUUUGCCGAGGACUGUUUGUCGGGCACUCGGCAAAGAUUUUGCCGAGGACUGACGCCGGUCUUCGGGGAAAAAAAGAUGAUGUUAGGCCACGGGCUGCAACUGACGGCGUCUUUGCCGAGGGCCCAACGUUGGGCCCUCGGCAAAGAAGUUUUUAAAUUUUUAUUUGGGUAAUUUCUGUGCCGAAGGUCCCCAUACAGGCCCUCGGCAAAGAAUUUUUUAAAUAUUUAUUUAGGUAAUUUCUUUGCCGAGGGCUAACAUGCAAACCCUCGGCAAAAUCUCUUUUUUAUUUUUUCUAGAGAAUUCUUUGCCGAGGGCCUUAACUAUAGCCCUAGGCAAAGAACUGUUUUGUAUUUUUUUCUGAGAAAUUAUUUGCCGAGGGCUAUGGCCAAAGCCGUCGGCAAAGACCUGAUUAUUGUUUGUUUUUUGAAUUUCUUUGCCGAGGGCUAUGGUCAAGGCCCUCGGCAAAGACCAGAGAAAUUUUAAAUUUUUUUGUUUGUUUAUUUUCAUCCAGACAAAAGACAGAUACAUAUAUAUAUACCAUCACACAGAGUCCACAACGAGCACAUACAUCUCACGAACAUCACAUAUAUAUACCACGAACAUCAUGUAUGUACAUCUAGUAGUCCACAAGUUCACCAAAUCGAACCAAAGUUCCAAACCGCCGACACGUACGCAGGCUGCGAGAACUCACCAUCCUCCCCAACCGUCCUGCCUCUGCGUCGAGGGUGGUGUGUCGAAGGCUCCAGGAUCCGGUGACGUACGAGGCGGGUUAUUGGAUCUCGCUGUCGACUAAGGCUGCAUGGUCAAUCACGAUGUCGUCGCUCACGCAAACGUGCCCUUGCGUUGCCAUGCUGCAAAGAUGAGAGUUGGAGCAGAGGCCAUGCCAUUGCCAUCUCCGUGUGUCAGCCGGGCCCAUGUUAUCACCUACUCAUGCCAGUAGGGGUUGCACCACUGCCAUCUCUAUGCACGCCGGCUAGAGCCGUGCCAUUGCCUCGCCUCCUCCACAUAUGCCCGUUCAGGCCGCAUUGCCACCUAUUCCGUGCCAUGUAGGAUGGGAAUGGGGCCACACUGCCUCCACCUCUAGUUGGUUGGAAUGGAAGAGAAGGUGAAAGGUUGAAGAGAGAGUGAAAGAAGAAAGUGACAACGGUAGGAAUAAGAUAAGUUAGGCUUAAGCUUUAAUUGAGCCACGUCGAGUUAGGGCAGUUCCAAUAGGUAGUUUCUUGAGCCAGUUUCUAAGAGAGAAAUAGAACAACUAAUGUGUUGUAGAAACUAUCAUUUCCAAUAUAUGAUUUCUACAAUAAUUUGUAUACAAGAGAUAAAUUAAAUGCAAAACAAAAAAGCAAUAGAUCAACUAUGGCAAGUAGCCAUAUAGCCUAAUUGCAAUCAUGACAAUUUUUGAAUUUUAUUUGGCUGUUUUAAAAGAUGUUUCGAUUCUUAGUAUUUUGUUCACGUCACUGAUGUAGUAUAUACAAAAUUCUAAGUUAUACAUGCCUUGGGCCUGCAGUGUGUGGACUAAGGCCCAUUUGCCAACCGUAUUAGGUCUUCAAUUAGCUCACAGAAGUUAGUCCUCCCUAAAAUCAUUUUCGAAGAGCAGUCUGCAUUUGUCCCUGGUAGGAUAUUUCUGAUAAUAUAAUUGCUGCAUAUGAAUGCCUACAUUUUAUGUGAACAAAUGGCACAAAGAGGAAUGGCUAUUGUGCUCUCAAACUUGAUAUGUCUAAGGCUUAUGAUCGAGUGGAGUGGCCAUAUUUAUUUGCCACUAUGGAGAGGUUGGGAUUCAGUAAGAAAUGGAUUGAUGUAAUCAUGAAAUGUGUAACCUCAGUAUCUUUCUCAGUUCUUUUCAAUGGAGAAAUAUUAGAAUAGUUCAAACCAUCCAGAGGAAUUAGACAAGGUGAUCCAAUUUCUCCAUACUUGUUCCUUAUUUGUGCUGAAGGCUUAUCAUGUAUUCUAAAUAGCAAUAGCAAUCAGGAGAGGGGAAUUACAUUAGCUAAGAAUGCUCCAAGAAUCAGCCAUUUACUUUUUGCAGAUGAUAGCAUUUUAUUCUUCAACGCGAGUGUAAGAGCGGCAGAAAUAAUUGAUUCACUUCUUGCUGCUUAUAGUGAUGCAUCUGGACAACGAAUCAACUACGACAAGUCAUCAAUUUAUUUUAGCAAAAAAUGCAGCAAUACAUUAAAGGAGGAGAUAAAAAAAGAAGAUAUGUGUGAAUAAUGAGGCAAUGACUGAACGCUAUUUAGGAUUGCCAACUGAUGUGGGUAGGUCAAAAAAUGGUGCUUUUAAAUAUUUAAAAGACCAGAUAUGGAAUAAGGUGCAGGGAUGGAUGGAACAAUGCCUCUCAG
rnacentral:lncRNA from 1 species